rnacentral:miRNA from 1 species
GGCGAUCCGUGGAGAGCAGUUAGCGCGCGUUCCCGUUAAUUAUACCGGCGCACGUCAAUUGCUCUCUAGGGAUCCC